UUCCACCUGUCAGAUCCAGCUCAACAUGGUCUAUUCAAACAGCAUAUUAUAAUAAUAUAUUUUUAGCAUUACAAUCAACAAUGUGUAACUAUAGUGAUGAAAUAAAAAUUUAACAAAUUAUUGUUUAGUGUCAUGCACGAGUCAAUCAUUUAUAAGUCUUUUUUAUUUAUAGUGUAGAAAUGUAUCUGUACAGUCCAGAUUGUAAAUAAGAAGGCUUGUAACCUUGGCCAUGUCCAGCUACUAUAACAAAACCCUAGUGCUAAAAGUGUGCAACAUGUACCA